rnacentral:lncRNA from 1 species
AGUCAAUCAAGUGAUUUCUAAUUAUUUUUAAAGAGAAAUAUCCACAACAUGUGCCAAAAUAAAAGGAGUCUUCAAGCUCAUAAAGGGAUCAGAAGUCAAGAUGGCCUUAUUGAGAGGAGAGGAAUUACAGGAGAAUAAAUAUUGACGGAGCCUCCUUUUUCCUGAUACUUCCAAGUGCACCAGCCCUGCCAAGCCCUAUUCUAGGGGCAGCCACUGUUCAGAGAGCGGUACGGACAUCGCACAUCAGUGGUAAGCUCUGAGGUCAGACAGACCUAAGUUCUCACCCUGGCUUCCACACUUCAGCCACGUGACUUCG